rnacentral:rRNA from 1 species
AUUGAACGCUGGCGGAAUGCUUUACACAUGCAAGUCGAACGGCAGCAUAGGUGCUUGCACCUGAUGGCGAGUGGCGAACGGGUGAGUAAUACAUCGGAACGUGCCCAGUCGUGGGGGAUAACGUAGCGAAAGUUACGCUAAUACCGCAUACGAUCUACGGAUGAAAGCGGGGGACCGUAAGGCCUCGCGCGAUUGGAGCGGCCGAUGUUAGAUUAGGUAGUUGGUGGGGUAAAGGCUCACCAAGCCGACGAUCUAUAGCUGGUCUGAGAGGAUGAUCAGCCACACUGGGACUGAGACACGGCCCAGACUCCUACGGGAGGCAGCAGUGGGGAAUUUUGGACAAUGGGCGCAAGCCUGAUCCAGCCAUUCCGCGUGCAGGACGAAGGCCUUCGGGUUGUAAACUGCUUUUGUACAGAACGAAAAGCCUUGGGUUAAUACCCUGAGGUCAUGACGGUACUGUAAGAAUAAGCACCGGCUAACUACGUG